UCCGGUCCCUGGGCGACCGCCGGUGUGCGCCGUUUCGGCGCGCACGGGAGGAAAGUCCGGGCUCCACAGGGCAGGGUGGUGGGUAACGCCCACCGCUCCCGGGCUCCGGCCCGGGGGUAGGGACAGUGCCACAGAAACGAAACCGCCGGCUGGCGGGCGCCGCUGGUCGGGGCCCGCAACGGCAAGGGUGAAACGGUGCGGCAAGAGCGUCACCGGGGACGCGGGUCACCGCGUCCGACGAGGCAAACCCCACCCGGAGGAAGACCAUCGGGGGGUCGCGUGGCCCGCGCCAGUCCCUCCAAAGAGGUCGUUCGAGGGCGCCCGCGAGGGCGCUCCUAGAGAAAUGGUCGCCACCGCCUCGGCGGCAUCAGAACUCGGCUUACGGGGACCGGACACU
rnacentral:RNase_P_RNA from 1 species